rnacentral:rRNA from 1 species
AUCAACGCUGGCGGCGUGCCUCAGACAUGCAAGUCGAACGAUUAAACUUCCCUUCGGGGAAGAUAUAAAGUGGCGCACGGGUGAGUAACACGUAGGUAAUGUACCUUUGGGUGGGGAAUAACUUAGGGAAACUUAAGCUAAUACCGCAUAAUGCAGCGGCUCCUUCGGGAGACAGUUGUUAAAGAUUUAUCGCCUAAAGAGCAGCCUGCGGCAGAUUAGCUAGUUGGUAAGGUAACGGCUUACCAAGGCUACGAUCUGUAUCCGACCUGAGAGGGUGGUCGGACACACUGACACUGAAUAACGGGUCAGACUCCUACGGGAAGCAGCAGUCGGGAAUUUUGGGCAAUGGGCGAAAGCCUGACCCAGCAACGCCGCGUGAAGGAUGAAGUCUUUCGGGAUGUAAACUUCGUAAGAAUAGGAAGAAUAAAUGACGGUACUAUUUGUAAGGUCCGGCUAACUACGUG